GAUGAAGAACGUAGCGAAAUGCGAUAAGUAAUGCGAAUUGCAGAAUUCAGUGAAUCAUCGAAUCUUUGAACGCACAUUGCGCCCGCGAGUAUUCUCGCGGGCAUGCCUGUCCGAGCGUCAUUUCAACCCUCAGGGCCCGCCUGCUUGCAGGCGCGGCGCUGGUGUUGGGGAUCGGCUACCCUGCCGUCCCCCAAAUACAGUGGCGGUCUCGCUGCAGCCUCCCCUGCGUAGUAGCAACACUCGCAUGCGGAGCGCGGCGCGGCCACGCCGUAAAACCCCCGACUUUCUGAACGUUGACCUCGGAUCAGGUAGGAAUACCCGCUGAACUUAAGCAUAUCAAUAAGCGGAGGA
rnacentral:misc_RNA from 1 species